AGAGUUUGAUCCUGGCUCAGAUUGAACGCUGGCGGAAUGCUUUACACAUGCAAGUCGAGCGGCAGCGCGGGGCAACCUGGCGGCGAGCGGCGAACGGGUGAGUAAUACAUCGGAACGUACCCUGUCGUGGGGGAUAACUAACCGAAAGGUUGGCUAAUACCGCAUACGACCUGAGGGUGAAAGCGGGGGAUCGCAAGACCUCGCGCGAUAGGAGCGGCCGAUGUCGGAUUAGCUAGUUGGUGAGGUAAAGGCUCACCAAGGCGACGAUCCGUAGCGGGUCUGAGAGGACGGCCCGCCACACUGGAACUGAGACACGGUCCAGACUCCUACGGGAGGCAGCAGUGGGGAAUUUUGGACAAUGGGCGCAAGCCUGAUCCAGCCAUUCCGCGUGAGUGAAGAAGGCCUUCGGGUUGUAAAGCUCUUUCGGCAGGGACGAAACGGUGAGGGCUAAUACCCUUUACUAAUGACGGUACCUGAAGAAGAAGCACCGGCUAACUACGUGCCAGCAGCCGCGGUAAUACGUAGGGUGCGAGCGUUAAUCGGAAUUACUGGGCGUAAAGCGUGCGCAGGCGGUUUUGUAAGACAGAUGUGAAAUCCCCGGGCUUAACCUGGGAACUGCGUUUGUGACUGCAAGACUUGAGUGCGGCAGAGGGGGGUGGAAUUCCACGUGUAGCAGUGAAAUGCGUAGAGAUGUGGAGGAACACCGAUGGCGAAGGCAGCCCCCUGGGUCGACACUGACGCUCAUGCACGAAAGCGUGGGUAGCAAACAGGAUUAGAUACCCUGGUAGUCCACGCCCUAAACGAUGCGAACUAGGUGUUGGAGAAGGAGACUUCUUUAGUACCGCAGCUAACGCGUGAAGUUCGCCGCCUGGGGAGUACGGUCGCAAGAUUAAAACUCAAAGGAAUUGAUGG
rnacentral:rRNA from 1 species